GCAGGUAGACAGGUUAGCCUAGAUUAUGACUCUCACAUGCAGUAUGGUCAGUAGGGAAGCAAAUUGUCCUGUUUGUGGCACCCAGGGCCAUUCUGGUUUUAGUGUUGACAGUCCAGCAUCCUAGGAAAAUCUUCAUCUCAGGAAAACCAGGGCAACUGGUCACCCUAGCAAUCAGCCAAAGUGAAAUAAAGAAUGUCUACAAGCUGAGGUCGACCACAGCUUGAAAAUAUUCACAGAAGUCCUGGAGCCUGCUUUCUUCCAGCCGACUGACUACUUAGUGAAGCAUUCCUUGCUUAGCUGCUUCAAUCUUCCCUCUUUUCAUCAUUUUAGCUGAUCUCUUCUGAACCUCUGCCAAUUUAUCUGCAUCUUCUUGAUACCAUGGCACUCUGGAUUGAACACCAAGCGCAUUUAUGUAGGCUUUCACCUCCUCGUCUCAUUAUAUGCCCCAGGCAGCAAAUGCAGCAAAACCAUGGAAUGUUCCAUGUACUCCAGAAAUUAGAAGUUCCUUCAAUGCAUGAGAUGCCAUAAAAUUAAAAGUGAAUUGAAGACCUAUUAUUCUUGGUUAGCCAGCUAAUGGUAAAAAUGAGGCCUUCAACCUCAUAUGCAUCAGUGACUCCUACCCGGUACCUGAACCAGAGCGAUGCCUCUCCCAGCACAGCGCUGGAGAGGGAAGCAGGUUUCCUGAGAGGUCCCAUGUCUCCAUUCAAGCCUGCCCAGCUCCCACCGACCAACCCUCUACUCCUGUACAAAGGCCUUGGCCUCAUCAUCAUCACUGGGAGUCCAAACAGACGGCUGAUGCAAGUAGGUGUUCUCAUGCAGCCUAAUUGGGAUGCUGUUGGAGCAGCAGUGAGCCUCUAAUUUGUGAACAACCACAGAGCAAAAAUGAGUGCCAAGAGAUGUGAUUGCAGGACCCUCUCACCCACAAGCACAAGGAUGGCUGGACCAAGAGGUUCGCUGCAGCAGUGUUUGUCCAUCCAAAAACCUCCAGGCCCAAUCUAAACACCAAAACUUCAGUAGAGGAAUAGAUAAAUAAAAUGUGAUACAGCCGUCAGAUAGAAUUCCCUACAGCAAUGGAAAGACGUUAUUAAUUAGA